GCUUAGAUAGUUUAAUAGGGAAUUUAGUGAAAUUCUAAUACGGUCCCGCCGCUGUAAGAGGGAUUGGCAUAACAAUUAACCACUGAAGAAAUUCGGGAAGGGGUUAUGCCGAGAUGAUCUUGAGUCAGAAGACCUGCCUAUUUUCAU
rnacentral:ncRNA from 1 species